AAUUUAUCUUUAUGUAGAAUAAGAUUUUGAUUAUUAAUUAAUUUAAGAAUUAUUUCUUUUAUUUUUGGUUUAAUAUUUAUUAAUCAUGAUUAUUCAAUUUUUUUAGAAUGAGAAUUAAUUUCUUUAAAUAGAAUUAGAAUUGUAAUAACUUUUUUAUUUGAUUGAAUAAGAUUAAUUUUUAUAUGUUUUGUAUUAUUAAUUUCGUCUUUAGUAAUUUAUUAUAGAAAAGAAUAUAUAGCAGGAGAUAUAAAUAUUAAUCGAUUUAUUUUAUUAGUUUUGUUAUUUGUUAUAUCAAUGAUAUUUUUAAUUAUUUCUCCAAAUUUAAUUAGAAUUUUAUUAGGAUGAGAUGGUUUAGGGUUAGUUUCUUAUUUAUUAGUGAUUUAUUUUCAAAAUGUAAAAUCUUAUAAUGCAGGUAUAUUAACUGUUUUAUCAAAUCGUAUUGGAGAUGUUGCUUUAUUAUUAGCGAUUGCUUGAAUAUUAAAUUAUGGAUCUUGAAAUUAUAUUUUUUUAUUAAAAUUUAAUAUUUUAGAUAUAAAUAUAUUGAUUAUUGGUAUAUUAAUUGUAUUGGCGGCAAUAACUAAAAGAGCUCAAAUUCCAUUUUCAGCUUGGUUACCUGCAGCAAUAGCAGCCCCUACUCCUGUGUCAGCUUUGGUACAUUCAUCUACUCUUGUUACUGCUGGAGUUUAUUUAUUAAUCCGGUUUAAUUUAUUAAUUGGAGAUACAAUUUUAGGACAAAGAUUGUUAUUAAUUUCAGGAUUGACAAUAUUUAUAUCAGGGUUAGGAGCUAAUUUUGAGUUUGAUUUAAAAAAAAUUAUUGCAUUAUCUACUUUAAGUCAAUUGGGGUUAAUAAUGAGAAUUUUAUCUAUAGGAUUUUAUAAAUUAGCUUUUUUCCAUUUAUUAACUCAUGCUUUAUUUAAAGCAUUAUUAUUUAUGUGUGCUGGGGCUAUUAUUCAUAAUAUAAAUAAUUUACAAGACAUUCGUUUAAUAGGAGGAUUAAGAAGUUAUAUACCUUUUACAUGUAGAUAUUUUAAUAUUGCUAAUUUAGCUUUAUGUGGAAUACCUUUUUUGGCUGGAUUUUAUUCUAAAGAUAUAAUUUUAGAAAUUGUAUCAUUGAGUUAUAUUAAUAUAUUUUCUUUUUUUCUUUUUUUCUUUUCUACAGGAUUAACAGUUAGAUAUUCAAUUCGUUUAGUUUAUUAUUCAUUAGUUGGAAAUUUUAAUUUUUAUAGUUUAAAUUUAUUGAGAGAUAAUAGUUGAAUUAUAUUAAAAGGAAUAUCUGGUUUAUUAUUUAUAAGAAUUAUUGGUGGAGGAUUUUUAAAUUGACUGUUAUUUGGCACCCCUUCAAUAAUUUGUUUACCUUUUUUAUUAAAAUUAUUAACUUUAAUUGUGUGUAUUUUAGGGGGAUUAGUAGGAUAUUAUAUUUCAAAAAUUUCUUUAUAUUUUUUCAAUAAAUCUUUACAAAAUUAUUUUAUUUCUUUAUUUUUUGGUUCGAUGUGAUUUAUGCCUAAUAUUGUUACAUAUGGGUUAAUUUUUAAUUUUUUAUUUUUAGGUAAAAAUUUGUAUAAAAGUUUUGAUCAGGGUUGAUCUGAAUUUUUUGGAGGAUUUUAUUUAUAUAAAAAUUUAUUGGGAUAUUCAAAA